rnacentral:lncRNA from 1 species
GGGUGGACCAUGGGAGGCUUCAGAAGUCUUACUUUGUAGCUGAUGUCAAGGGGGCCCUGGGUAAAAUUAGCACUAACGUUUGGGACAAGUAAAAACAUUUGUUACAGGAUAGAGGAAAGAAUCACCAUUGCCAAGAAUGGACUGAAGUUUCUGGUGGCAAGCCCAACAAGUAGGCUUUGGUCAAGCCACUCUAAAAUCAGGUAUCCCCGGGUCAUGAAGGCAACAGCAGAUGAAGAAUAUAAAUAUACCUGAGUUCCCUUUCUGGAUCUACUACUGACUUGCUGAGUGAGUAUACCUACUUCUUCAUGUAUUUGGGCACCAGUUUUCUCAACCCUAAAAUGAGGAAGCUCAAAUGGAUAGUCCCCAGAAAAAAGGUCCCCUCUGAUAUUCAGUGAAGCAGCCAUUUUCCUGUCUUAAAUUCUUUAGGAAUAGAAUUUCAUAUUUUCCUCAUUAAAUCUUUCCUCAGAUUUGACUGAGGACAUACCUGAAAAAGAGAUGAAACUCAAGAUUUUAAAGCAUGCACUAUCUCUGAUUCUAUGCCAUAUUUUGGCAGUUGUUAUGUUCCUAGUCCUCAGUGAGUAGAUGGAUGAGGGGUACCUCAUUCUCUUUGUUAGUAAUAAAAUAUAAUGCCUAUGUAUUAUUACUGCUUAGACUGAAUCAUAUGUUUUGAGGUAGGUUCUGAAUCAUAUGGCCUGAGGUGGACUUUUAUUUGUCCAACUUAUUGGUGGAAUUACAUUUGUUGAGUUUUAACCUCUUGAGACUUUUUCCUCUCAAUCAUAAAGUAGGGAUUAUAAUAUCAACCUCAUCAAGUAGUUUAGAAAAUCAACUAUGACAAGCCACAAAUGCAAUAUAUAGUGUGAAUGCAGUGUAGUCAUUACAGCUUUCUAUCCAAAACCCUUAAGGAACUGCAUUUAUAGAAGCAUCUGGAGGAAUGGGCAUGUUAAGAAAUGUUUUCUUUCUACUAGGGUGACUAUCAGCAAGUCUAUCCAGCUAACAUACAAAGACCAGGGUUCCCUACUUCUAUAUUACUUUGUUUCCCAAGAAUAUUCCCUUGAUGAGAAUAUAUUGACCUAAAAAAGCUUUAUUAUUGACUUUUUGUUUCCUUUAAGUGUCCCAAAUAGCCCCAUUUAGUUAACUCUUUGGGUUCAUUGGAUUGUUAAAAAGCGAUAAUUCGACAAAUUUUCAUUGAGCACCUACUGUGUUCUAGUUACAUAGUGAGGUGCAGUAGUGAGAACUAAGGCAUAUUUGGAAACUUCCCUUUUAUAUUGUCUGAGAGUUUGUUAAUCUGAAUGAAACUUCAAGGGGUUGCAGAAAUCCUCAGAACCUUGGGGAGUUGCAAUUAAAGUAGAGGGAUUAAGGAAGUCAGACGGACACUCAGACUGCCUAUCCUUUCAUUAAACCCUAUCUGUAGGAUGGCACCUACUGUUAUGUGAGAUGCUAAUUGCAGUCUGGUACCCUUUUCAGAGGUAAAAGGGAGCUGCAUCCUGGAGGGAGGGAAACUUGGUUUUCACACAAGGCCUCAUGGAUCAGUGAGACUUUGCCUUAUACAAAUUAAGCAUCUGAGGUUUUAUAUCUGUCCCAUAAGGAUUUAUUUUGGAAUUACUCUCUCCUUUUGUUAGAUCACCUGCUACUCCUCCAGGUGGACAAUAUGUCCCAUUCAGAAGCUCUCCCUUCACAUCUACUUUGUGUAGAGAAUGUUCAAAAACAUAUAUUAAUUUUUUAAUGGAGUUCUUGGUUUAUUAUACCAAUAUUCCCCUCUUUGCAUUU